GAAUUCACUAGUGAUUCAGGCCUAACACAUGCAAGUCGAACGGCAGCACGGGGGCAACCCUGGUGGAAAAAAGCGAACGGGUGAGUAAUAUAUCGGAACGUACCCAGUAGUGGGGGAUAACUAUCCGAAGAGGAUAGGUAAUACCGCAUACGGUCUGUGGAUGAAAGCAGGGGAUCUUCGGACCGUGUGCUAUUGGAAUGGCCGAUGUGUGAUUAGCUAGUUGGUAGGGUAAAAGCCUACCAAGGCGACGAUCAGUAGCUGGUCUGAGAGGACGACCAGCCACACUGGAACUGGGACACGGUCCAGACUCCUACGGGAGGCAGCAGUGGGGAAUUUUGGACAA
rnacentral:rRNA from 1 species